AUAUUAAGUACUGCACACCAUGCUUGUUUUCAAGAAUCCAGAAGCAAUAUUGAGCACUGUAUGACACUGAGCACAGACUAUGCGUUCUUUGUGGGAGGACUUACGGUGAAAGCUAACUUGUUUUCAUGAACUAUAGUAUGUUUCCCUGCAGAACCCUCCAGUGUUGACAUUAAAAGGCAAUAGAUUAAUUAGGUUCCAGUAAGAGUUCUUCAGUCACUUCAGGAACCCUGAUGUAUAAAUAUGCUUUCAGGCUUUGCACCACCACCUCAGCAUGUGUUAGAAAACAGUGAAGUGCCACCCAGUGUACUUACUGUGCUGAAACGUCCAUUUGAGCCUUUCUUAAGAUUCUUCAGCCCAAAGACAUGCCGUCACAGAGAAGGACAAACCUUAAUUCCUUGUGAUGUAGGAGUGGGCCUUAACACAACCAAAUGCUUGGAAAAUAACUGUUGUCCUUUCCAAACCAGCUAUGGACCACUUUGUUAUAUGCCAUUUGAAGACUAUAUGCGCCUGAGAUUUCUACUGAUUGUGCUUGUGGCAGGAGGAUUUUUAGUUUUGGGGUGUCUCUCACUCUGUUGCUGUGCUGUUUUGCAGAAAUGGUAAGCAU
rnacentral:lncRNA from 14 species